rnacentral:tRNA from 1 species
GCGCCUGUAGCUCAGUGGAUAGAGUGACGGCCUCCGGAGCCGUAGGUCGUGAGUUCGAAUCUCGCCAGGCGCGCCA